ACUCACUCUUGAUGUGUGUGAAUUAGAAAGCAUUCAUGCUUUAAGACAAGAACAUCCUGGGCCAAUGUCCAGAACAAUUAAGCCAAGUACUGGAAUCUGGACCCUGUUGUUAAGAUCGAUUCUAAAGCUCAUGCAUGUGGACAAUGCUUCAUUUUCUAGCUCCUGUUUCGACAACAUCUAAACAUCUGAGACAAUGACUACACACUUCCAAGGGACAUAUAUGGACCCUUUUCCCCCCAUUGGGCUGCAGCUGCACAAUUGUUCCUCACUCAGCUCCUAACCUCCAAUGGUGGUUUCCUGGAACUCAUCAAACUGGCCCUUGACGAAGCGAAGGACCAGGCUGGACUUGCCCACUGCCAUGUCUCCCAGCAGCACCAACUUAAACUGGCA